rnacentral:rRNA from 1 species
UAGGGAAUCUUCGGCAAUGGACGAAAGUCUGACCGAGCAACGCCGCGUGAGUGAAGAAGGUUUUCGGAUCGUAAAACUCUGUUGUUAGAGAAGAACAAGGACGUUAGUAACUGAACGUCCCCUGACGGUAUCUAACCAGAAAGCCACGGCUAACUACGUGCCAGCAGCCGCGGUAAUACGUAGGUGGCAAGAGUUGUCCGGAUUUAUUGGGCGUAAAGCGAGCGCAGGCGGUUUCUUAAGUCUGAUGUGAAAGCCCCCGGCUCAACCGGGGAGGGUCAUUUGUAACUGGGCGACUUGAGUGCAGAAGGGGAGAGUGGAAGUCCAUGUCUAGCGGUGAAAUUCGUAGAUAUAUGGAGGAACACCAGUGGCGAAGGCGGCUCUCUGGUCUGUAACUGACGCUGAGGCUCGAAAGCGUGGUGAGCAAACAGG